AUUGAACGCUGGCGGCAGGCCUAACACAUGCAAGUCGAGCGGAUGAAGGGAGCUUGCUCCUGGAUUCAGCGGCGGACGGGUGAGUAAUGCCUAGGAAUCUGCCUUGUAGUUGGGGAUAACGUCCGGAAACGGGCGCUAAUACCGCAUACGUCCUGAGGGAGAAAGUGGGGGAUCUUCGGACCUCACGCUAUCAGAUGAGCCUAGGUCGGAUUAGCUAGUUGGUGGGGUAAAGGCCUACCAAGGCGACGAUCCGUAACUGGUCUGAGAGGAUGAUCAGUCACACUGGAACUGAGACACGGUCCAGACUCCUACGGGAGGCAGCAGUGGGGAAUAUUGGACAAUGGGCGAAAGCCUGAGCCAGAAAUGCCGCGUGUGUGAAGAAGGUCUUCGGAUUGUAAAGCACUUUAAGUUGGGAGGAAGGGCAGUAAGUUAAUACCUUGCUGUUUUGACGUUACCAACAGAAUAAGCACCGGCUAACUUCGUG
rnacentral:rRNA from 1 species